UGAUGGGGUCUUGGGAGGUAGAGGAUGGACGAUGGGGUCUGGAGAGGGGGAGGGGGAGGUCCGACGGGGUCUGGGGAGGGGGAAGUUGUGGCGCCGAAGUGGGGAUGGGUAGGGGGCGGCGGGCGCCGACAGGUGGGGAAGGGGAGGGGAAAUUAGGGUUUGAAAGUUAGGGAAUUUGGGAAGAUGAUGUUGUGGAUGUUUUUUUUAUUAUUUUUUUUUAAUUUUUUUUCGCAUGUCCUAAAUGUGCCUAGGUGUCAAUUUUCGGCUGCCAACACAUCAAUUCUGGCUGCCACCGUGUAAUUUCUGGUGCCGGAUUAAGAAAAAAUCAGUGACAGGAGAAAAAGAGACAAAAUAAAAGGUUAUGUAUUUAGGGGCCACAUUUUUCAAAAUA
rnacentral:lncRNA from 1 species